rnacentral:lncRNA from 1 species
AGCCAUCACCCGAAAAGGGUGUGGGGACAAGAGAUACCCCGGGAACAUCGGAGGAGUAUAGAAAUAGAGGACUUGAAGAGUCUAAAAGACCAGUAUUGGUGUUAACAGCCAUGAUAUAUCAACAAGGAAAAACAGAUUCAGCAACCAGAAUGUAACAAAUCAAAUAGCCACACACAAAGCCAACUAUUCAAACACAAAGCCAAAAUCGAUAUACACAAACCAGGUAAUAUUGGAUUUUAAGACAAAGUUACCCUCCUUCUUCGCUACCGGAAGAAGAUCGGCCUUCAAAUGGUAGUGAAAACCCUAGGUAUGAAACCCUAGGUUCAGACGUCGAGUCAGUCACCGGAAAUAUGAGAAACGAUGUCGGAAAGUUACCCAAACAUCCACGAGAUGAGAAUCGGACCACCGGAAGACGGUAAAACAGCAAG